UCCCUGGUGGCUCAGUUGGUAAAGAAUCCGUCUGCAAUGCAGGAGACCCUGGUUCAAUUCCUGGGUAGGGAA
rnacentral:tRNA from 1 species